rnacentral:rRNA from 1 species
UCAACCNUAGUGUGCUCUGGAAACUGUCUGACUUGAGUGCAGAAGGGGAGAGUGGAAUUCCAUGUGUAGCGGUGAAAUGCGUAGAUAUAUGGAGGAACACCAGUGGCGAAAGCGGCUCUCUGGUCUGUCACUGACGCUGAGGCUCGAAAGCGUGGGUAGCGAACAGGGUUAGAUACCCUGGUAGUCCACGCCGUAAACGAUGAGUGCUAGGUGUUAGGCCCUUUCCGGGGCUUAGUGCCGGAGCUAACGCAAUAAGCACUCCGCCUGGGGAGUACGACCGCAAGGUUGAAACUCAAAGGAAUUGACGGGGGCCCGCACAAGCGGUGGAGCAUGUGGUUUAAUUCGAAGCAACGCGAAGAACCUUACCAGGUCUUGACAUCCCGAUGCUAUUCUUAGAGAUAGGAAGUUACUUCGGUACAUCGGAGACAGGUGGUGCAUGGUUGUCGUCAGCUCGUGUCGUGAGAUGUUGGGUUAAGUCCCGCAACGAGCGCAACCCUUAUUGUUAGUUGCCAUCAUUAAGUUGGGCACUCUAGCGAGACUGCCGGUAAUAAACCGGAGGAAGGUGGGGAUGACGUCAAAUCAUCAUGCCCCUUAUGACCUGGGCUACACACGUGCUACAAUGGUCGGUACAACGAGUUGCGAGCCGGUGACGGCAAGCUAAUCUCUGAAAGCCGAUCUCAGUUCGGAUUGGAGGCUGCAACUCGCCUCCAUGAAGUCGGAAUCGCUAGUAAUCGCGGAUCAGCACGCCGCGGUGAAUACGUUCCCGGGCCUUGUACACACCGCCCGUCACACCACGAGAGUUUGUAACACCCGAAGUCGGUGAGGUANCCUUUUAGGGGC